ACCAAACCUCCUCAUUUUAAACUUAAUUCAUUUAUCCUUUAAUGUUGGAAGUCCAUGCUCAAUUAUGGUACUAAAGAAAUGAAAAAUAGGGUAGCAACCGAAUCAAAUGAGGAGCAAAAUAGAAAGUUUUUUGCUGAAUCUCGCUGUAGCGAAAUUUUGGUCACAAAAUAGAGAGUUUCUCGUUGCAGCGAGAAGCUACAGUAACAUUCUCGCUGUAGCGAGAUUUUCGGCCAGCCUUACCCUUUCAACCAGAGAGUUUCUCGCUGCAGUGAGAUUCAAUCUCGUUGCAGCGAGAAAUAAGGCACCAACAAAAAUUCCCCAUUCCCUCAAGCAAAGGCCACCCUGUUCACAUGACCAACACAACAUGAAACUCAUAUAAUUUCCCAAAGUUUAACAUGUCAAAUUUCACAUGCAUUUCAACCAUUUACAUAUUCAUGAACUUUCUAUAACACACAUAUCUAUACAUGUAUAUAUAUAUUCAUCAUCAUGCACACUCUCCCAUCGUCAUCAGCUCAUGUGCACUCCCCACUAGCACAUGGCUGGGUUAUCAUCGGCUUAUGUGCACUCCCACUCGCACAUAGUCGGGUCAUCAUCGGCUUAUGUACACUCCUACUCACACAUAGCCGGGUCCACAUCAACAUACAAAGAAGCACCCAAAUCAUAUCAUGCAUAUUAUCAUAUUGUUAUAACAUAUAAACCAUUGUAUAGCACUUUUUCACAAUAUAAAAUCACUUCACCAAAGGCUUGUUCCCAAGGUACAUUUUUAAAGGAAAACUAGAUAAAAUCUUUCAAAUGUUUGUACAAUUGCAUUCACAUUCCCAAAACAAAUUUUGAAAUGCAAGUUCACUCAUCGGUAUGUUGUUGGGCCUUUAAUCGACUCUAACUUCCGUAAUGGUCCAAAUGGGGCGAUAAAGCUUCGUUGGAACCUACCAUUACAUUAGCAUCACCAUUAUGUCAAUUCACAUACUUAUAGAAUCCAAAAACUUUCUCUUAGCUAACUUCCAAUGGCCAUUUAAAUGCCUAUCUAUUCUCUCUACCCUUAUCACUUUAAAAUGAAUGAACAUCCCAACUACCAAUUCACCCGCAAAUCUAAACACUAAUCAUUCUCAACACCAAAACUCAAUUCUAAUGUACUACUCACCUUGGUAGCUUGUAUAUGAAAUUCUUUCCAAAAGUUUCAAGCUAUUUUUGAAGCUUCCUCUUUCUCUCUCUAAAACACCUAACUAGUGACAGAGGGUAUAGAAAUAAGAUUUUUUCAAGGGUUUUAAGGAGAGAGAGUGGAAGAGCACAACGGUUUAUGGAAAAGGUGCACCAAAAGCAUGAAAUUUGGAGCUAUUUGAGGAAGGUUGUUGAGCUUUCUUAUCAAGCUUUCAUGGAGGUUGGGAAGUAGCGUGAAAGAGAAGAAGAAGAAGAAGAAAAGCUGCUGGAGAAUGUAGAAGCCGCUGGAAGAAAGAGAUAUUUAUAGCUCAAGCUUAUCCACUCCACUUAAAUUACCAAAAUGCCCCUCCACAAAUUAGCUUAUUCUCCUCCAAUCUUUUAUGCAAUCUUUUUACUCUUUUGACACUGGGACAAGGUCCAUAAUGGUCUAGAAAUGCUCGAGUUCAUGAAAACUUAAAAAUUCUAACUUGAGGUGAAAAAUGACCAUUUCGCCCAUAUCGUGAAAAUCAUCAAAAUUUUUGUUUUCUUGUCAUUUUACCCAUAUUUUCAUCAUUCAUUUAUGCCUUAGGCCUACUUAGGCCAUAAUAUUGUUUAAAAUCUUACUUUUAUGGGCUCACUAAGAAAAUGACAAAAUUAUCCCUGAUUAGGGAUAUCGCAUAUAUUACUAACUAUGAGUCUAUAAAGGACAAAGUCUCACAAUAAUUCCUCAAAGGCUUGGUCUCUUCCUCUUGUUGAUGAACCAUUGUUUUACUUGAAGUAGAAUUUUUUUUUUAUUUUUCCUUCAAAGUGUAUGAAAAGUUUUUCUUUUGAUUUCUGGAUCAAUAAGAACAAUUUCCAAAUUUCGGGCUCUUCGCAUACAACGACCAAAAGUACUUGAAAAAAUAAAAUAAUUAAAGAAAAAAAGUCUAGGUUAAAAUUAAGAAUGCUUGGUAUUAAUAUUAACAAAAAAGAAUUAAAAAUCAAUUCUCUAGUAACGACGCCAAAAACUUGUUGAUUUCUCACGUAAAUGCACGUAUCGUUAACAAGUAAUAUAGUAAUGAAGUAGAGUAUCGUUCCCAUAGAGAAUUGUUUAAUUCCUACAGUUAAGUACUAAAAUUAUAACACCCUAAUUUUGUCUAAACAAUUAAAAUAAAAAAAUUAAAACUAAUAAACUAAAACUAAAAUUAAAUAGUAAAUAAAACUCACUUAACUACCAGACCUAAGAUUAUAAUGUCCCUCAAUACUUCAUCUGAUUAUUAUCUCUCUCUCUCUCUUAACUUAGUUUAAUGGAUUAAAUUACUAAACUAGAGUCCUAAAUUAUUUAUAAGUCUCUGUCGAGUUUUUCAUAAAAAUACCUCUCCCAAUUAAUUUACUAUAUAUCUAUGCAAAUUAAAUUGAAGAAAAAUUAUUAAGUUUAUACUCUAAUCUUGGCUAAGUAUGGCUUAUAAGUGUAUGUCUAGCCUAUAUGCAAAUCAAACCACCUAAUCAACUAAGUGUAUUCGAUCAUACGCUAUUUUAUUCAAGGUCUACCUAAAUCUCUUUCGUCAAGGUUUAACCUAGGUUUUCAAUUCAAUCUAAUUGGUGAUCAGGCAAUUAGAAGCAUUAAGAACAGAAUAAAAUAAACAACCUAAAUUUAUCAAAAAUAAGCAAAAGAGAGAUAAAUAGUUCAGACUACAUAAUGAGUUCAAUCAUAAUCUUAGUUUAAAAAUUUAGGUCCCCAUCAAGUCACACAUUAUCAUCGAAUAAAGUUUAAACAAUAAAAACAAACUAAAAAAAAUAAGAGAAUAAUCAAAAAGAUAAACCUCAAGAAUUAUAAUCUUGAUCUUUUAAGUCUUCUUGAAUCCUUCAAAAUCUUCUCAGCUUCAAUGACUUUGUGGCUUGACUCCCAGCUUUCAAUCUGA
rnacentral:lncRNA from 1 species